ACUCCUACGGGAGGCAGCAGUGGGGAAUAUUGCACAAUGGGCGAAAGCCUGAUGCAGCGACGCCGCGUGAGGGAUGACGGCCUUCGGGUUGUAAACCUCUUUCGACAGGGACGAAGCGCAAGUGACGGUACCUGUAGAAGAAGCACCGGCCAACUACGUGCCAGCAGCCGCGGUAAUACGUAGGGUGCGAGCGUUGUCCGGAAUUACUGGGCGUAAAGAGCUUGUAGGCGGUUCGUCGCGUCGUUCGUGAAAACUUGGGGCUCAACCCCAAGCUUGCGGCGUAUAGCGGGCGACGUAGAGUACUUCAGGGGAGACUGGAAUUCCGUGGUGUAGCGGUGAAAUGCGCAGAUAUCAGGAGGAACACCGGUGGCGAAGGCGGGUCUCU
rnacentral:rRNA from 1 species